GCGCUUCUGUUAAGAAAAAACCUAAAAAUAAAAGCCGCUCACCUUUUCCUCCUCGCAUCCAUAUCUUCGGCCGCCAGCCCAGAUCUUCAACUGCUCAUGGAAGAUCUAUUCCAUCGUCCUCGUGCUUCAGCUCAGCGAGACCGCCAUGAGGUGAACGCCAUCACUGGAUUGUCGGCCUGCCGCGUGUGGGACGGCGGCGUGAAUCCCAUCGCCUGGUAGCGGCACGCCUCCUCCGUGAGUGCUGUGCAGGACCGUGGAGUGAAGUCCAUCGGCAUGCCAUUGAUCUGUUUCCUCUAUGCUCGUAGGCUGGAAAAAACACACCCAGAAAAAGAAUUAUGGUCUGGAUCGUAUUUAAUUGUCUUCAAACGUAUAUUUGGCUUGCGAUGAGUGUAGUCACCGAGAAUUGCACAGGUGCUUGUGCUAUGUUGCUCUAUUAAUAAAUUUUAUCAACAAUUGCCACUUUUAUGUUUGAUGUGUUGUUUUCUUUCCCAACGUACUGCUAGACAUCUAAAAUCUGCGGAUCCAUACUGUAAUCAAGCUAGAUCUACUUAGCUUCAUGUAUUAGUGUCACAUUUUACAGAACAAACGGGCUGACUGAUUUGUCUUUCGUUAGGAAAAGGUAUCAUGGUAGGUGUGCUCCGCCAGGCAGUGGCAACAGGUAUGUACGGGUGCCAAGCCAGAGAUGGAGUGCACCAUGGUAGUAGAGUGAUUAAUUUGUGCCUCACAUCUGGAGCUAAUUCUGGUAUGAGUUAGCCUACUGUUCUGUAAGACAAGAUUAUCUUGAUUUCGGUAGCUACCUCUCUGAAUUAAAUGAAUAUUCAUACAUUCCAUUUAGUUUUCUUCUAAUUUCUAGGCCCGUUUAAUCAUAUAUACCAUGAGCAUUCCCUCAAAAAAAAUACUGAUUUAUCUAACUGCAACCAUGUAUGUUAUGUGCCCAAGACUUUCCUUAUUUGAUCAAUUACAUAACCAAGUAUCAGAUUCGAUGUACAUGCUUCACGAGCUGAAUCCAUAGUGUGGUUUCUGAACUAAGUUCUAAUUAUCCUUUUGUUUUCUACUCAAGUAAGCAAUAUGUUUUCUUCGGAACCAGGCUAUACUUCUCUAAUUUGAUUUCUACACAAGUAAGCACUCUAUGAUUCUGCACGGAUGCGUAGCAUUCAGUAACUGUUUUUCCUGCAGCAGCCAAUAGGUACGCAACAUUAUAUGCUUCAUCCGUGCAUGUGGAAAGUAGAACUUGCUAUUAAAUUUACUACCAAUUUAUUUAUCUAUGUUUCAGUUAACUUUUUCUACAUACAACUUUUUUCUGAAGGUUUUCAAGCAACAACACACAACACUGCAAGUCAAAUCAACACUAGUGGCGAUGAAGAGCUGAUGUACCAUUUUUCCAUGUGGAAGCUUGUAGCCAUAUUCCAACUACUAGAAGAAAAUGAAAAAGAUUUGGAGGAAUUUUGCGUCAUCAAGUCCUGUAAUUGUUUCAACAAAAUGUACAGAUCAAUUGUAAAGUACUGUUGUUCUCAAGAAAUAAAGUUAUUUUUUCAAAGAA